UAUAACGUUUAGGGCUAAGAGGUGGGAUGGAGAAUUUUAAACAGAAAGGAGUGUGUGUGUGUGUGUGUGUGUGUGUGUGUGUGUGUGUGUGUGUAAAAUUACAGGGAGACACUAACAUAUUCCUGUUGUACAUAACAAUUCAUUUAAGUUCAGAGAACGGAAAGAAACCACAAAGGCAUUCAGAGAGAAGUAACCAACGUUUAAGGUUGUUGAAAACAAGCUGGUGAAGGUUCCCUGAAGCUCUCAGAGAAAAAGAGAGCUUCAAGUGAGCUUCCUCUGAGCUUUUUCUACAGCGGAGAGAAUGUUCUAGUGGGAUUCUCCACUGGAAGAUGGGAUAAGGAAGAAGUAGCCAGUAGAUAGGGCCCCCGCAUCACCCGCUGGCGCUUCCGUUCUACCCACAUUCUCAGGUAUCUUUGUUUUUUGAUGUGGGGUUUUCCAUCAAUAAUGUGAGGGGAUUUUUUUUUCCAGAGUUCCAUGCCAGCAGCUCAUCGGGAGGACACCAUCAGGCCUGGAAAAGUUCAAAUGAAAGAUCAUAUAGAGGGACUUACACAAUUCGGUGUCUGAGAGCCUAUCAGAGAUAAAGGAAACAAAUUCCCUGGCGACAAAGGUCCUUCUACUCAUCAUCGACCCGACUGCCUUGUAGGGUAUGUCUAUCUGAAAUCCAAGAAGCCAUAGUCAAGAGGAUGUUUUGUCCUCGGUGGUUAAAACUCAGUUUUCACUCAAGACUCCAAAUGUGACCAAAGGAACAGAUGUCAUCCACGGGACCUUGUAGAAAAGUCUUCAAAACCUGAAUCAGUAUCACUGCCAGCAUGAGCACCAGCACCAUCACCAGCACCAGCAGCAACACCACCAGCAGUAGAACCACCAGCACCACCAUCUUCCCAUAAGCCUUUAUCCGUUUAUGCCCAUGGGUCAGUGUCCCACAACAUGCAUGUGAAGGUCAGAGGACAACUGUCAGGCAUGAGUUCCUACCUUCUGCCCUGUGAGCAGGGUCUCCCAUGUCACUGCUGCUGCACGGUGUCCUCCAGGCUAACUUCACGGUGACUCUCCUAUAUCUGCCUCCCAUCCCACCAAUGGAGUGUUGGAGUGACAGGUGCACACCAUGAAUCCAGCUUGUGAUAUGAGUUCCAGGAUCAAACUGGGGUCAUCAAGAUUGAGAAAUAAUACCUCUACCCACUGAGCUACCUCUCCAGCCCUACUAGUGAAUCUUUUGGAAAGGUAAAAACAUCUUGGUUAUCAUCAUUCUAUUAAGUAUUCUUAUAUAAUCUUAUAUCUUAAAAACAAACGCAACUAGCUGAGAAAUUAUUGACAAAUGAUGGCUGCUGUUGGAAGAGUUAGUUUUCUUCAAAGAUGUGAUCCCUGAGAGGUUACCCAUGGUCUAAGAGAUGAUCCUAUACUACGUGUAUAAAGGCAGCACUAAGUGGAGUAGUUGGAUCGAUGUUGGGGGAGGGGCAGUAUUAAAUUUGGAUGGAAUAUGGUGGAAGGGUAGGGGGAUGAGUUGGGAGGGAAGGCACAGGAGGUAGAUUUGAUCAAAAUAUAUUACAUGUAUGAGUAAAAUUCACAAACAAUUUUUAAAGAUACCUAAGAGAAUAGUCUGUCACAAUCCUGCAUGUCGGAUUACUUUGAUCUUAGAAAUCAUAAUGUGUUAAAAUGCAAAUAAUUGUUCUCCUGUCUCCAUGCUAGAGAUAACAGAAGAAAAAAAAAAACUCUUUUGCAGUAUGUCAAAUACAUAUUGUACGGAAAAUAGACCAAAGUAUAACACUGCCGUCAUAAUACGGCAAAAAUGGAUCAGCUUGGUAAUGAAGCAAGCAGUGGACACAGGUUAGAUACACAGCAAGGCAAUAUGCUGUGGAAUUCUGGGUAAAGGGAAGUGUCCUCUGCCCUGACCGCCCAACCCACAGAA